rnacentral:RNase_P_RNA from 1 species
UCAGAGGGCCGGGCGGCCGCGGUCCGGCUUGGCCGGAGCGAGGAAAGUCCGGGCUCCACGAAACGACGGUGCCGGGUAACGCCCGGCGGGGGCGACCCCAGGGACAGUGCAACAGAAAGCAGGUCGCGACCGCUUCGGCGACGUGACAGUGAAAGGGUGCGGUAAGAGCGCACCGCGGCCCCGGCAACGACGGCCGGCACGGUAAACCCCACCGGGAGCAAGACCGAAUAGGGAUGGCGCGGGGGCGACCCCAUGGGCUCGUUUCGUCCAAUGCCGUCCGGGUUGGUUGCUUGAGGGGCGGAGCGAUCCGCCUCCUAGAGGAAUGGUCGCACAGGCGGGGAACCGCUGGACAGAACCCGGCUUAUAGGCCCUCUGGCAUU